GACGGAGGAUGCGAGCGUUAUCCGGAAUUAUUGGGCGUAAAGCGUCCGUAGGCGGUUAUUCAAGUCUGCUGUCAAAGACUACAGCUCAACUGUGGAAAGGCAGUGGAAACUGAGGAACUGGAGUGCGGUAGGGGUAGAGGGAAGUCCCAGUGUAGCGGUGAAAUGCGUAGAUAUUGGGAAGAACACCAGUGGCGAAGGCGCUCUACUGGGCCGUAACUGACGCUGAGGGACGAAAGCUAGGGGAGCGAAAGGG
rnacentral:rRNA from 1 species